rnacentral:rRNA from 1 species
UGAGUAACACGUGAAUUACAUGCCCUUCAGUGGGGAAUAGCCCAGGGAAACUUGGAUUAAUACCCCAUAGUCUCGCAAGAGUAGAGGUGGCGUAAAGCUGCCGCUGAAGGAUUGGUUCGCGCCCUAUCAGCUUGUUGGUGAGGUAACGGCUCACCAAGGCUACGACGGGUACCUGGUCUGAGAGGACGAUCAGGCACACUGGAACUGAGACACGGUCCAGACACCUACGGGUGGCAGCAGUCGAGAAUAAUUCACAAUGGGGGCAACCCUGAUGGUGCAACGCCGCGUGGAGGAUGACGGUCUUCGGAUUGUAAACUCCUGUCAUCUGGGAGAAAGACCUGGGGGUUAAUAGCCCACAGGGUUGAUAGUACCAGAAGAGGAAGGGACGGCUAACUUCGUGCCAGCAGCCGCGGUAAUACGAAGGUCCCAAGCGUUGUUCGGAA